rnacentral:lncRNA from 1 species
AAAGAUUUGGCAUCCAUUAACCAAAGAAGGGGGAUCUUGAGGAACUAAACAGUGCCCCACCAAAAUAUCAGAUUACAAACAAACAAAGCAAAGCAGGAAAAGAAAAAUUCCUGAAAGGAAAAAGCCAAAAAAACCCUAGCAAAAAAAAAACCAAAAUGUAAUAGACCCCCUACAAAACAAAACAAAGGAACCAGUUGAUGAGAGCUCUCUAAUGAUCGGGCAGCUACACAGCUGCAAUUGGGUAACUAGAGAUCUUGUGGAAAGUAAAAGAAAGCCAUAGCUUCAGAGAUAAGGAUCACGAUUUUCGAAACCCACCAGAGAGAAAACAAAUCUAGAACAUGGACAUCCAGGCCAACCAGUCCGCAUUAUUGUGCCUCCGUGAAAUGUCGACCUUCUCAAGCCAAAAUAUGAGCUGUUGCAUUCGCGUCUCUCCGCGCAUGAUGAAAGGUAAUCUCCAUGAAAAAACCCAAUUUAUAUUUGAUGUCCGUGAUAAUCGGGCUCAGGAUCGAACAAUCCACAUUGUAUGAAUUCACCUUUUUAAUAACAGUUAAAGAGUCACAUUUGAUUUGAACUCUCCGAAACCCAAGAUUGAUUGCCAAGACGAUAGCCCAUUCACUGGCUCUGGUCUCAGCAACAAAAGCGUUCACCACCGCGGCAUGUGGGUAAGUACUAGCACCUAUUAUCUGACCCCUUUCAUUGCCCGCUAAGACCUUUAAGAUAGAAACUUUAGACAUUGCUUGAAACGUCAUGUCAAAGUUAACUUUAAUGGUUCCGGAAGGAGGUGGGUUUUAAAGAUACUGCUGAUUUGGGCUGCGAGUAACAAUGGCAAGUGCUACGCAUCAAGUUCCCUUAAAUGACCCAUGAUGAACCAACCAGCUCUUGCACGGAUUAUCUGACCCCCUCGUGAAUCAAUUUGUUUCAUAUGUACCAGAGAGCCUAGUAGGUAACAGCUAACAACUUUCUAUUAUUAGUUCUUGUGGCAUGAAACGUCUGAACUAACCAAUCUUUGUAGUCAGAAAAAUCAGAAGUAAGGAGCAUAUCAGUCUUUAACACAGUCAGGAUUUGGCAAGUGACAGAACAAAAACGCAGCAUAUGGUCCACGGACUCCCCAGGCUCUUAAAAUAGAGGGUAUAUAUUUGUAACCUGUAGAUGUCUUUAAAAUAGGUUGUCAAACGUAGGGAGAAAAUUGUUGUAGGACUUCCAUAGGUAUAUUUUGAUCUUGCUGGGGAUAGGCAGUUCCCACAUCUCUUUGUAAAAUGAGUUGGCAGUGUUAGGAAGAUGGGUAUGGAAGCUCCUAAAUUUUGUAAUUUCUCAAGAAGGAGCAGCUUGUACCCACUUUUGACAGAGUAGAUCCCAGUACAUUCAUGAAACCAAACUAGUGCCCGGAGGUUUCAACUGAGCAAGCGGAAUAGUGAGGAUUUGGUUUACCUGAUCACCAGUAACAACAGCGCGAAAAUAUCUUCCCACCAAGUACAAGUAUCUUGUGAAAUUAACUAAGACACCAUAGAGUAUUGAAUGUCUAUUGACUAACAACAUAGCUUGCCAUCACCAAGCCCGGGGAUCCAUAGAUCAUUCCAGAUGUUUACCGAGGCACUCAUACCUAUAUGCCAACCUAUCCCUAUUUGCAGAAGGCCCCUCGCGCCUGGAAGACUUCACUAGGUAAAAGAAGGGUAAGUGCCCAGUCUUCCAAAAUUAAAAUCCCUAUUCGGGUGAUAUCGUGCUUGCAAAACUCUCGCUAACAAGCAGUCAGGCUGUGUCAAUACACGUCAACCCUGCUUCGCUAAGAAUGCUACAUCAAAAGAUGCAAAACCAUAGAAACCCAAACCUCCAUCAGUUUUUGCCAAGCAUAAGUAUUGCCAUGUGCUCCAGUGUAUGCCCUUACAAGUUUUGGUAUUCUGCCACCAAAAAGCACUAAGCACACCUUCUAAUUUACAACACAAUUCAACAAACAUAAGAAAACAUUGCAUGGCAUAAACUGGAAUUAAUUGCAUAACGGCUUUGAUAAGCACCUUAUUCCCUCCCAUCGAUAACAACUGCAUGUUCAAAUUGUCUAAACGCUUUUGAAACCUAUCCAAAUAGUGUUGAAAAUCCCUAUUUCUGUUCCUUACCACCAUCAUAGGCAAUUCCAAAUAAGUCUCAAGGCUUAAGGCCACUCAAACGCCAAGAAUUGCACCCAACUGUUUUUUGACCUCGACUCCAACAUUUGCCCUAAAGUAGAUAAGGAACUUUUCAAAAUUCACCUUUUGCCCGAAAGCUUACUUAUAUUCUGAAACAGCAUGGAGGACCCCAGCAACCCCUUCCAUCGAAGUAGUACCAAAUAGGAUAUAGUCAUCAGCAAAAAGCAAAUGGUUGAGCGUCAUUCCUCCCCUACCAAGCCAAACUCCCAUUAUUAAACCCGAAUGUUUAGCCCCUCCAAUAAAGCCAAAAAACCUUGCACACAUAAUAAGAAAAGGUAAGUGGUCAGUUGGUCGCCCUGACGAAGGCCUCUAGAGCAACAAAACUGACAUUACGAAUCCCAUUGAUCCCAACCGUGUAAGAAAAAGAGUCGGCAGACCACAUAAUCAAAGUCACCCAAUCCAAAUGAAACCCACUGAAGUAUCAUCCCGACAAAAAAAUCUCAUUCCACUCUGUCGUAUGCCUUGCUCAUAUCAAGUUUUAGAGCGAACUGUUUGACUUUCCCUUAUCUCCAAACCUUCAACAGGUGCAGAAUCUCAUAUGCAACCAACACAUUAUCAAAAAUCUGUCUACCAAGGAUGAAAGCUCAUUGAGCCUCAUGUAUACAACAAUCCAAACAGCCACUCAUUCUAUUCACAACCACUUUAGCAAUGAUUUUAUACAACAUGGUACUCAAGCUAAUAGGUUGAAAUUGUGCGAUAGACUUUGGCUUACUAACUUUUGAGAUUAAUAGAAUAUGAGUUUUAUUGAUGUUGUCAAUCACAAUGUCACCCUGAAGCAUUGCAAGGAAAAAUGUGGUCACAUCCUCUCCCAAAAUGUGCCAAAUUUUCUAAUAAAAUAAGGCUGGGAAACUAUCAACACAAAGAGCUCGUAAAGGGGCUAUAUCUUUAAUAGCCACCCAAAUCUCCUCAACCAUGAAAGGUUGCAUCAAACUAAUGUUCAUCUCGUUAGAAACUCUCCGUUCAACAUUGGAAAAUAUCAUAUCUACCUCUCCUGCUUCUGAAGUAGUGAACAAAUCCCUAAAGUAAGAUGUAGCCAAUCCUAGGAGACUCUCCUUGUUUGAUAUCCAACUACCUGAAUCAUUCUGAAUACCCUCGACAUUGUUAUGUUAUUUUCUUACCGAGGCCAUUCUAUGGAAAAAAAUGACGAGUUUUGGUCUCCAUACGGGAGCCAAUUUAGGUGAGACCAUUGUUCCCAGUAGAUUUCCUUCCGAUCAGCCUCUAAAUUUAAUCAUGAUUGAACUUCUGUCAACUCGGCAAUGGUGGUAUCAUCCAAGUCUUGCACAUACAAUUCGGCCAGUCUGUUCUCUAACUUCUUUUUCGCCGCCUUCAUACACUUUGUCGCAUACGAAUUCAAUGUAAAAUUUUUUUGCCUAAGCCCUCUAGUUUAGAUGGCAAAUCAGAUGUAACUGAAAUCUAAUAACCCUGAAGUUCAUUCUUGAAAGAACAAUCCAAACACCAAUAUGUAAGGAACCUAAACCUCAAAUAGUCCCUCCAAUCUAACUGGUACUACGACCCAUAGUAUUCACCAACACCAAAUAAUGAUUGAAAAUAGAAUGAGGCAAAUAGGUAACAGUAUAACUAGGAAACUUACUCCACCAAUCUAAGUUAGCUAACCCUCUGUCUAAUCGUUCUCAUAUGUUAGUUGCAGCCAGUCUGCCCCUCUCCCAAGUAAACCAAUAGCGCAAGAAACCCAAAUCACUAAGAUCACAAUCCUGUAGAGUAUUACGAAAAGCAACCAUGUGUUUUUCCAUGCAGGUCCACUUCCCAAAGGAGAAAGCUAUCUCGUUAAAGUCCCUGAAAACUAACUAAUGAAGACUCAGAUCAUGGCCUAAAUGACAAAGGAGAUCCCAUGUACCGCUCCUAAAUCUCUUAUUUGAAUGUCUGUAGAAACCUGUAAAACACCAUUACAUCUCAUCAUGUAUGUCAAAGAUCUCUACAUCAAUAUGGUGCUGCGAAUAACUCCGCAAAAUGACAAUAUCUUAUGGUCUCCAACCUAACAAUAACCCACCAUUAGAACCAACAAAACAUACAUCGAAGCCAUGCAAAAAGCCACACUUCCCCCGAAAACUUCCCAUUUUUUAUGUACUAAUCUUUGUCUCCAUUAGAAACAAAAGCUAGAGACAAACUUCUCUCAGUUUAUUCCUAAGGCGAUGAACUGCCCGUGGCUUCCUUAACCCACGGACGUUCCAACUUAAGGUUUUUAUUACGGUUGAUUGACCUGCCUAGCAAAGCUAACCGAUAUGUCAUUAUUGCCCUAAGGCAUAGGUCAUCACUUGAAUCCAAAUUUUGAGGAAUUCCCAACGUGCGUUGAUGUUUCUUGAUGUUAUCUGACUGAAUAGGACUAUGUUCAUCCUCCAACCCUAUCUCCAUAAUUGACACAACAGCUAUUCCAAAAUCAUAAUACCCUGAACCCAAAUUGGAAUCACUGCGUGUCCCCAACAGAAUACCAUUACAAAAAGGGCAACUUGGGUGUGUAGUGAGAGGAAUACGAUUCCCCGGACUAUAGUUGCAAUCCUUAUACCAAUUUGGACUCAGAGAUCUAUCCAGAUCUUGCAACCACCUACUAGUUUCAGCUGGAUUCCUUCUCGCCGGUGCUCAUAAAGAGAUAUUCCAUCCAAAAAAAAUAUCUGACACCGCCACUCGAACCCGUACCAAACAAAAGUUUUCUCUGUGCUUAAACAGACGACAAAUAAAGCAGAACAUGCUCAAUUUUUCAUACUGAAACCUAGCAUAAAAUGGGCAUUCGCCCACGAGAACCUUCUUCUUUCGCUGAAGGGCGACAUACACAUCUAACCUUACCUUCAACUACAAAUACCGUUGUACCUCAAAGGAUGGAAUCUUGGUAUCAUAAAGUAAGAAUUCACCAAGGAAAGGCCCAAAUCAUCGUCCCAAUGUUUCAGACAGUAAUUCGGGUGGUAAAUCAUGCACAUGUACCCAGAAGACAGCAUGGUGGAGAGGCAAUGUGUGAGGGUCUUGACUUGGCUGUAACGGCUCUAGUAGCAGUAAAUGGUUGUUAAGAAACCAAGACAUUCCCUUGAAAACCCUAUUGAAAUCAACGACAUGAAAGAACUUAAACAAGUAGCGUUUCGCAUCCAAGUCAAUAAUGGCAAUACCCCCAAUAGAGCUAUAGACCAGCCAUAGUGUUCCCUACAGAAGGGAAGUAAACCACACUAUCAAUCAAGCAACUAUCAACUAGAAAAAAUUGAAAUUCAUCCUCAGUCUCAAUUGCUUCUUCUUGAAAAGCGUCUUCCUCCUCCUCCUCCUCCUCUUCCUCCUCCUCCUCAAGGUUCAAAUUUUCCAUCUCGUCCUCCAUACUUUUACUAGACCGGGAGAAACCGAUAGUAAUUGCUAAAGAAAGAAAGAAAACGGGGAAGAAAUGGGAAACCUACAACCUGCCAACUAGGAUGACGAAAACCGUGUCAAAAAGAUAAACUAAACCUCCCACAAUAGAGAAUAUUUACUUUCACACAAAAAAAGAAUAGCGAAGAAAAGUGAGAGAAAAAUAAAUAAGAAAAAUGAUCAUUUUACAUAAUACAUUGCCAGUAACAUGUUUUUUAAUUAGCCUAAAUAUGUGGAGUUUCCACUUGUUUAUUUGGGCUCCAAGUGUCUUUAUUUUAUGGUGCCCAAUGGUAAAUAUGUAACAAUGCAAACAAAAAUAACAUGUCAAUUUUGUGUUUUUAUUACUUUAGUAUAUAUUAAUUUUCUGUCUCUAGCGAUGCACAAUAACUUGUGUAUUUUAUAAAAUUAUUAUUUAAUAACAACAUAUUAAUUACAUUUAUUGAUUCUGAAAAUACAAACAACUUUAAAAAUAUGUUUUAAGUUUUUGAAAUAUAAUAUAUUUAUAAUAUUAUGAAUAUAAUUUAUAUUUUAAUUAUGAAGAAAAAAAUUUUAAAACACAAAACUAUUGUAAUAUGUAUAUAUAAUAACUGAUUCAGAAUGUUGGUUUAAAUAAUUUUAAUCUUAGAAAUAAAGUUUUGUAUAAUUCUUCUAUAUUAGAAAUAAUGUCUAAUAUAACAAAAAAGAACUCAUACCAUACAUAUUUACAAUUGACUUAUUUUAACUCGAUUUUCAAAGCUUAUAAGUUUAAUUAUUUUUCGAUUUUUAACUUAAAAUAUUAGUAAUUUAAGCUAAAAGUUGACUCUUCAAACAUUAUUGAAAUUUGGACCAAUGAGCUUAAAGAAAGGGAUUUGGGCCUGAAUAAACAUUGGGUUUGACUUUUAACUUAUAAUUUUGAAUAUAUAUUACUAUAAUUAUAUUAAAUAUUUAUUUUUUUAUUAAUAAAAAAAUCCAAAAAAAAUUUAAAAAAAGGAAGAUUAUAAAAAGGUCCUUCAACUUUUCAAAUCAUUACAAUUUGGACUUUUGUCCUUUUCCUAUACCAUUUUCAGAACCUUUUGCUUAGCUGUUACCACCUUAUCAGCCACCCUCAACAUUGGCCACCUCCACAAACCAACCAUUUUCCUCUACAACCAUUACACCUGUAACACCCCUUACUCAAUCCGAUAUUUGGGUCAAGGUAUUGGGAUGUCACAUUUAUUGCCGGAGUAACUAUAAUAAUAUCAUAUCAACAAAACAUUCAUAAUGCAUAAAAUAAUAUGAUUUUCUAGCUUAACUAAGCUUAGACGAACAUUUUGAAAGCUUCCUAAGUAGCCAAAACUCAAUCCGAGACAAAAAAGAUAAAGAUUCAAGCCAUCGAAAGCUCAACGCGAGUCACUAAGCUCUAUGUCGCAACAUGACAAAUUGUUAAAGCUCGUCAUGACAUCAUUAGGUUCCAUGUCGUGACGUGACAAACUGUAAAAGCUCGUUGUGAUGUCAACAGGCCGUCAUUGCGACGUUGAUCGUGCAACUUCAAAACCUGCACAUUUUGCUCCCUAACCACCUUAAACCACUUCCAUAGGCUAUAUCCCUUCCAAACAACCAAUAACCAUUGCUAAUAUACAUUUACCAACCAUAAACAUUACUCAAAUCAUCAUGAAACUACUUCAAACAUAUCCAAAAUACAAAGUUUAUAAUGAAUAUCAAUGUCCAACAAUUUCAUCCUUUAAAUAAUAUAUUUAACAUUCUUGAUAAAUUCCUAUGUACAUGCCAAAUCUAUGCCCAAAAGUUUGAAAUCAUACUUCCUUCAAAGCUUAAGAUGUGAUGAGAUGAGUUGGAAACCAUCUUCACCUACAUAUUUGAAAGAAACGCAUUAAGCUCAUGAGAGCUUAGUAAGCAUAUCAAGAAUUAAACAACACAUUUAAAAUUCAUUCCAUACACAUACAUAGUUAUAUACUUAUAUGUAAAAAUUAUUAUAUAAUACUAUCAUUAAUCUUUAUCAUCAUGCAUAAAUUUUAUUUCAAUAAAAUCUACAAUAAGAUGCCAAUCCAAUAAAAUACAAACCACUUACCAUUGCCACUUAAUUUUCAUUUACCUUUUUUUAUCGAGUGGCCCCAUUGUAGACUUAAUAGAACAUAAUAAGAUAUACAGAAAUAACGAUAAGAUGCAUCAAAGUGGCACUGUAAUGGCCUAAAUUCAAGGUUAUCGGAACAAUGAUUUCGUAACCAUAGAUCCGAUUUAAAGAGAAAUUUAUUUCAAUAUUUUUGCUUGAAAAUUGAUAUGAUAGGAAAAUCGUAUGAAAAUAUUGAUAGAAAAAUUUUAUCGAUUUAGUGAUUAGAUAGAAAAAGAAAUUAUUGAAGAAAUUGGGUAAAAACAAGGUAUCGAGACCUCUAUCUCGUAAAACCGAGUCAAAAAUAAUUUUAUAAAUAUUUAUGAAAUGUUAUUAAUGUGGUAUUAAAAUUUCGUUAGGAAAUUUUAAUGUUUGGGUAGUCAAUUAAAUGAAAAAGACUAAAUUGUAAUAGGUGUAAAAGUUGCUAGAGUGAUUAAAUAGCUUAAGAAUCUAAUGAGAAAGGAUUUAAAAGGCAUUAGACCCAAAAGUUAUUUGGGCUGGACGGCAAGGGUAUGAAAUCAGUAGAAAAAUUGAUAAAUUAAGGGUAAAAUUGGAAUAUUGCAAAAUUAACUAAAUAAAACUAGGACUAAAUAGGAAAUAUCUAGAUUUCUCUUCAUUUCUCUUCAAUUCCAGCAGCUAAAAACGCCACAGGAGGGUUCUCUAAGCUGGUAUUUCAUAAUUUUUUAACCAAGUGAGUUAAUCCUUGCCUUUUUCUUGUAAUUUUUGUGUUUCUAAGACUUUUACAACUAGGUCUUACUAUUAAAUUUAUUAGUUUUUGAUUUCAUGGAUGAAAUUGAAAGUCACCAUGGUUGAGUUCUGUAAGUUUAUGAUGAAAUAGAAUGAAAUUAAAGCUUUAAUUUGUUUAUGAGAUGAUUUUAUUAGGUAAUUUCAAUAGAAAUUGAUUUUUAGGACCUAAUUGUGAAAAUGCCUGGAAUUAAAGUCUAUUGCUGAAAUUCUGAUUCCUAAAGGUUUUAAAUUAGUUUAAGGUGAUAGAAUAAAAUGUUAAUUGAGAAAAAUCAGCUCAAUUGAGAGGCUAAUUGAGUAGGGACGAAAUUAUCAUUUAUUAAAAGCUUAGGGGAAAAUGGUAAUAAACAGCUUACACAAAAACAGUUUGGACAGCAGCAGUAGACUAAAUUUGAAAAAUCACCAUAAAUUGUAGAAAUCGAAUUAGAGGAUGAAAAAAAUAUGGCAUUAAAGCUUAUUGAGUCUAGUUUCUCAUAGAAGAAAUAGUGUAAGCAAUGGAUUUUUAAAUUUUGAGAUAUAAUGAAUUUUGUGAGAGAAUGUCAGAAUGAAUUCGGGUUCCUCUGUUCUGAAUUUGAAAAAUCAUAAAAAAAUUGAAUAAAAACAAUUAUGGGCUUAAAUUUAUAUGUAUAGAAUCCUUAAUGAGUCUAUUUUUAAUAGAAACAAACAAGAACAUUAUUUGAAUUCUGUAUGAAUAGAUAAUUAAUUUUUAGUGAAAAAUGGUCAGAACUGUCGACAGCAGAACAGGGGUGACUUUAAAGAAUAAACUGUACUUGUUGGAUAAACCAAAAGUUCUGAAAAUUUUAUGGUAAAAAUAUAUAUGAGUCUAGAUUUAGGGAAAAUUAAUGGAUCUUAAUUUGGAGUUCCGUAGCUCAAGUUAUAAAUAAUUUAGUGACUAUAACUCAAGUACACAGCUUUGAAUGAACUAUAAAUAAUAGUUGAAUUAUAGAGAAUGUUGCAUAUGAACAUGAAAUGUAUUAAAUUCAUAAUUAAACUUAUUUAUUUAGAUCCAGAAGAUUCAAAUAUGAAGCUAGAUCGAGGAAAGGAAAAAGUUCGGGAUUAGUAGAUUUUUAUUGUUUACAAACAAGUAUCAAGGUAAGUUCAUGUAACUUGAAUUAUAUUCUUAAAUGCUUGAAAAGCAUGUUUUUGAUAUGAAUAUGAUUUGAAUGUUCAUUAUAUGAAAUUAAUAAAACAUUGAUAUAUUUGAUAAAAUGGGAAGAAAUCCCGGUUGAAUGAAAGGAAAAUUCGAUGGAUCUCUGAAAAGGAAUUGACGAUAAAAAGGAUCUUUCCUGGACGGGUGAUCCUAUCUUGAUAUAGCCCUCCCGAAGAAUAUGUGUAAAAUGGAUUUAGCCCGGACGGGUAAUCCGAAUUAGGGUCUGAAUUUAGCCUGGACUGGUAAUUCAGAUCCAAGCUCAUUAGAGUAAUUGUCGUUGCAGGGGAUUUAGCCUGGACUGGCAAUCCCGACAAUACUCUAUGAGUUUAUAUUGCAGGGGAUUUAGCCUGGACUGGUAAUCCCGCGCAAGGUUGAGGUUCGUGGGAGUGUGCUCCCUGAAAUGGAAAUGUGCGCACAUGAAUAUGAAUUGAUAGACCCGGAAUUGUACACUAAAAGUGUACCUUUGAAAAUCCAUCAAAAAUUCCAAGAAAUUCAACGGGAUAAAUAUGGAAAAAUAACAAGGAAAUGGAAAUCAUGGUAUUGACGAGCUCAUCAAUCAUGGUAUAUAUUAUUGGUACAUGGAAAUUAUUGUACUAACUUGAAUGUUGAGUUUGUGCAUAUUAGGGUAAUAAUGCAUUGAAUGGAUAUAUGGAUGUUUAUUGUAUUGUAUUGAAAAUAUUAGGUAAGUAUGAUUCUUGUUACAUGAGCUUACUAAGCACGAAGUGCUUACCCCGUUUCCUUUUUUCCUGUUUUGUAGUGUUAAGAGCUCGGAG